GUGUACAGCUGACACUGUCGCUCUUCCUACCCCGCCCCACCGGGACCGGCGGCAGCGGGUGCCAAACCGCCCCCCGGGAGCCGAGCUGAGGACGCAGCCAUGCCGAGCGAUGACACUCAGCAGCCGGACUGCCGCCUCGUCUCCAUCUCGAUCUCCAGCGCUUCACAGAGGAGGAUGCCAUGAGAUUUCCCACAGGCCCUCACUGGCACCUGGCUGUGAGUGAACCGGGGGGAAAGAGGGGAUUACCGACGGCGGAUAAUGACGUGAUGGUUCGGUUGUAGAGCGAGCACGGGGGCGCUCCGGGCGUCUUUAAUGACCGGUGGUGGAGAGGAAAUCAGCGGACUUUAUUGUGUGCUUGCAUGUGUUUGUGUGGAGCCGCGUACCCUACGCUACUGGACCGCAGUCACAAAUAAAUUAAUAAACAAAUAGAAACGGUGUUUCAAACAGGUUGCAGAGAUUUCCUUCAAUCUGAGAGGAGGCUUUGCAGCACAGUCGAGGAUGCUAUCCCCCAGAUGGUGACUUUCGCAGGAGUUCCAGCGAGAGGAGGUUUUGAGAGUCACGCUCCACAGGCCUGUCAUGGUUUUCUACCUUUUCACACUAAUCCAUCUCUGCAUCUCCUGCUGUCUUCUAAUGUAAGUGUCCUUCUCAGCUGGUAAAGCUCCAACAAUAAUUCUAACAACCUCUAAAAACAACACAUUUUAAGCCACAGAGAUAUUUAGACAAAUUUAAUGGAAAAGUUACACAUUUUGCGAAAUUACCUCAUUCGCUGUCUUUC